rnacentral:rRNA from 1 species
GAUUAAGUUAUUAAGGGCGCACGGUGGAUGCCUUGGCACUAGAAGCCGAUGAAGGACGUUACUAACGACGAUAUGCUUUGGGUAGCUGUAAGUAAGCGUUGAUCCAGAGAUUUCCGAAUGGGGGAACCCAGCAUGAGUUAUGUCAUGUUAUCGACAUGUGAAUUCAUAGCAUGUCAGAAGGCAGACCCGGAGAACUGAAACAUCUUAGUACCCGGAGGAAGAGAAAGAAAAAUCGAUUCCCUGAGUAGCGGCGAGCGAAACGGGAAGAGCCCAAACCAACAAGCUUGCUUGUUGGGGUUGUAGGACACUCUAUACGGAGUUACAAAGGAACGAAGUAAAUGAAGCGACCUGGAAAGGUCCGUCGAAGAAGGUAACAACCCUGUAGUUGAAACUUCGUUCCCUCUUGAGUGGAUCCUGAGUACGGCGGAACACGUGAAAUUCCGUCGGAAUCUGGGAGGACCAUCUCCCAAGGCUAAAUACUCCCUAGUGACCGAUAGUGAACCAGUACCGUGAGGGAAAGGUGAAAAGCACCCCGGAAGGGGAGUGAAAGAGAUCCUGAAACCGUGUGCCUACAAAUAGUCAGAGCCCGUUAAUGGGUGAUGGCGUGCCUUUUGUAGAAUGAACCGGCGAGUUACGAUCCCGUGCGAGGUUAAGCUGAAGAGGCGGAGCCGCAGCGAAAGCGAGUCUGAAUAGGGCGUUUAGUACGUGGUCGUAGACCCGAAACCAGGUGAUCUACCCAUGUCCAGGGUGAAGUUCAGGUAACACUGAAUGGAGGCCCGAACCCACGCACGUUGAAAAGCGCGGGGAUGAGGUGUGGGUAGGGGUGAAAUGCCAAUCGAACCUGGAGAUAGCUGGUUCUCUCCGAAAUAGCUUUAGGGCUAGCCUCAAGGUAAGAGUCUCGGAGGUAGAGCACUGAUUGGACUAGGGGCCCCUACCGGGUUACCGAAUUCAGUCAAACUCCGAAUGCCGAUGACUUAUCCUUGGGAGUCAGACUGCGAGUGAUAAGAUCCGUAGUCGAAAGGGAAACAGCCCAGACCGCCAGCUAAGGUCCCAAAGUAUACGUUAAGUGGAAAAGGAUGUGGAGU